GCAGCACGUUGGUGUGUGUUUUGUUCGUUGUUGUUGUUCUUGUGUUGUAGGGCGACUGCUCGUGUGCGGCUCGUGUGCGGCUCCAUGGCUCCUGCGUGCACUGCUACGUUUGUUGGCUGCGGUAAACGCCGGUGGCUUCCUGGAGCCCCGUGUCUCUCUGUCGCUCCCUCCCUCCUCUUGUGCGAGGGUGUGUGCGUCCGCUAACAAGUUAUGUAUUGUCGUCCGUGAUCAUGUGGCAGGUAGAGUGCUGCGCCACCUUUGUCACUGGUACCACCUGUGCAUAUGGCUGCGCUCUCGUCGGCGGGUUAUGUAUUGUCGUCCGUGAUCAUGUGGCAGGUAGAGUCACCUGUGCAUAUGGCUGCGCUCUCGUGGGAGGGGUGUUGGUCGGCACUGAACGGUGAUUUGUGUGGUGCAGUCCUGCUCCACCUCCAGUCAUUGGUGCCAUGCACAUGGGGAAGGAGCAAUGUCUGGGGUGAAUGUUUCAGCCAUUGCUGUGUGCCAAAGCUUACUCCUGUCCUUGUAUGCAGUACUUCAUAAUAAAUAUAUGUAACCUAAA